AAGCAGAAAUACAAGGUGUUCUUAAAUUGUGCUGACAAGGGAGGUAAGAAGUGAACAAAAUUGCAAUUCCAUGGAAAGUUUACACUUGUUCAACAAAUAUUUUUUUGCGUAUGGCAUAUUUAUACAUGGCUUGUUGCAAAUGGCUUCAUAUUUCUUAAAAGUGUUGCAUUAAUUUUUAGUUAUAAAUUAUUCUUUUUCUUUCUCUCUCUGCUGAAUGGACUUUGCCACACAGAUAAUAAUCCAAGUCACAUUGCUCUGAAAUUAAGGCAGAAAAGAAGGGAAACAAAUGGAAAGCACCAGAAAGUACUUUCCAGGAGGUAACCUUCACUGGUUAAAGCAAAACUGUGUUCCACACCUCCCUUGUUCUACUUUGUCAUCUGGAACAUGAAGAACGAAAUGGGAAACCAACACCAAAGAUCUUAAUGACAACACUGGAGGCCAUGAAGAUCCAACUUUUUCCUAUCCAGAAGGAAUAGGACCCUGUACCCACUUUGAAGCUGAUGAAAUCUGCACGGAAGUCCUCUGAGUCAGAAAAUGUUCAUUAGGAAAGGUAAGUGAAAGUGAGUGAAGUUCUUCACCUCAAUGCAUUUGAAUGUGUUUCCAGUGGUGACCAUAGUUCUUUGCCUUUUGUCUAUUAAGAGCUUUCAGAGUAUAUCUGAAGCAUUCCAGCACUUGCAAAUCAAAGAUGAGCUUUUCUUGUGAUACUUUAAUUUUCUGAUUAUAGUGGCCAUAAUCUCCUAAAGAAGGCAUUCUGCCUGGUAAUGAGUAGACAGAAAUGCAGACUGCUGCAGGCCAGUUACAUAUUUAAAUGCUCUUGUUUAGGACUUGGAUGCCUUCCUACUGAGCUGAGACUGAUUGAAUGGGACACACUCUGAGGGAAGAACAGUCCAAGGCAACAGACCAGCAGAACAAAGGCUGCUGCUCUUACACACGUAAAACCAGCUGGCUUCCUUUAGGAUCUCACUGUCUUCUAAGCAUCCUCAGAAAUACAUGUUGACAGAUUUGAGACUGCU
rnacentral:lncRNA from 1 species